rnacentral:rRNA from 1 species
AAACUCAAAGGAAUUGACGGGGACCCGCACAAGCGGUGGAUGAUGUGGAUUAAUUCGAUGCAACGCGAAAACCUUACCUACCCUUGACAUGCCUGGAACCCUGGAGAGAUCUGGGGGUGCCCGAAAGGGAGCCGGGACACAGGUGCUGCAUGGCUGUCGUCAGCUCGUGUCGUGAGAUGUUGGGUUAAGUCCCGCAACGAGCGCAACCCUUGUCACUAGUUGCUACGCGAGGGCACUCUAGUGAGACUGCCGGUGACAAACCGGAGGAAGGUGGGGAUGACGUCAAGUCCUCAUGGCCCUUAUGGGUAGGGCUUCACACGUCAUACAAUGGUCGGUACAGAGGGUUGCCAAGCCGCGAGGUGGAGCCAAUCCCAGAAAGCCGAUCGUAGUCCGGAUUGCAGUCUGCAACUCGACUGCAUGAAGUCGGAAUCGCUAGUAAUCGCGGAUCAGCAUGUCGCGGUGAAUACGUUCCCGGGUCUUGUACACACCGCCCGUCACACCAUGGGAGUGGGGUUCACCAGAAGUAGGUAGCCUAACCGCGAGGGGGGCGCUUACCACGGUGAGCUUCAUGACUGGGGUGAAGUCGUAACAAGGUAGCCGUAUCGGAAGGUGCGGCUGGAUCACCUCCUUUCUG